rnacentral:siRNA from 1 species
CCAUAGUGCUAUUUCAAAGGUGGU